UGAGGAAUAUUGGUCAAUGGACGAGAGUCUGAACCAGCCAAGUAGCGUGCAGGAUGACGGCCCUAUUGGUUGUAAACUGCUUUUGUUUGGGAAUAAUCGACAUUACGUGUAAUGUUUUGCAUGUACCAUUCGAAUAAGGACCGGCUAAUUCCGUGCCAGCAGCCGCGGUAAUACGGAAGGUCCAGGCGUUAUCCGGAUUUAUUGGGUUUAAAGGGAGUGUAGGCGGUUGGUUAAGCGUGUUGUGAAAUGUAGAUGCUAAACAUCUGACUUGGAGCGCGAACUGGCUGACUUGAGUACACACAACGUAGGCGGAAUUCAGGGUGUAGCGGUGAAAUGCUUAGAUAUCAUGAAGAAAUCCGAUUGCGAAGGCAGCUUACGGGAGUGUUACUGAAGCAUAAGCUGGAAGGAGCGGGUAUCGAACAGG
rnacentral:rRNA from 1 species